UGUGUAGGAUAGGUGGGAGGCUUUGAAGCGUGGACGCCAGUCUGCGUGGAGCCAACCUUGAAAUACCACCCUGGCAACUUUGAGGUUCUAACUCUGGUCCGUUAUCCGGAUCGAGGACAGUGUAUGGUGGGUAGUUUGACUGGGGCGGUCUCCUCCCAAAGAGUAACGGAGGAGUACGAAGGUGCGCUCAGCACGGUCGGAAAUCGUGCGUAGAGUAUAAAGGCAAAAGCGCGCUUGACUGCGAGACCAACACGUCGAGCAGGUACGAAAGUAGGUCUUAGUGAUCCGGUGGUUCUGUAUGGAAGGGCCAUCGCUCAACGGAUAAAAGGUACUCCGGGGAUAACAGGCUGAUACCGCCCAAGAGUUCAUAUCGACGGCGGUGUUUGGCACCUCGAUGUCGGCUCAUCACAUCCUGGGGCUGAAGCCGGUCCCAAGGGUAUGGCUGUUCGCCAUUUAAAGUGGUACGCGAGCUGGGUUUAGAACGUCGUGAGACAGUUCGGUCCCUAUCUGCCGUGGACGUUUGAGAUUUGAGAGGGGCUGACCUUAGUACGAGAGGACCGGGUUGGACGAACCCCUGGUGUUCCGGUUGUGUCGCCAGACGCAUUGCCGGGUAGCUACGUUCGGAAAAGAUAACCGCUGAAAGCAUCUAAGCGGGAAACUUGCCUCAAGAUGAGAUCUCACCGGGAGCUUGACUCCCCUAAAGGGCCGUCGAAGACUACGACGUUGAUAGGUUGGGUGUGUAAGCGCUGUGAGGCGUUGAGCUAACCAAUACUAAUUGCCCGUGUGGCUUGACCAUAUAACACCCAAGCA
rnacentral:rRNA from 1 species